AGCAGGUCCCAAAGAAAAUGUACCUAAUAAUAUACUGUGCCAACAUAGCACAACAUAGAGAACCUGACUAUCUAAAUAGUUUGAUGACAUGAACACGAGUGAAGCACAGAGGUGAGGGCUCACCCGACCCACAAAAAUCAAGGUCGUGCUCUCUUGUUGCUGCAAGAUGGGCAUUUGUAUUGCUUAAUGUGCUCGGCCCUAGCCGGGGUGAUCUUCACACACUUGCCAUGGAACCACUUUUCACAUAUAUCACAACAAAUCCAGAACUCAUCUGCAGCAUAGUUCUCUCCACAUGCCCCACACAAAGUAUCCCCAUGCUCUUCCUCAUCUUCUUCUUCCAGUCCUUCAUCGUCCUCCCUUGGCUGCCCCUUUGAAUAUUUGCCAGAUUCAGAUCCACGCCCUUUUGAGCUUGACUUGGACUUGGUACUGCUAUGAUUUGAGACUGAUGACUUCUCCUUCACCUGCUUCUUUACAGUUCCCGUCACAACCUCAAAUAUUGUUGGGAGAUCAUUUAUCAUAGUGAAAAGACGUUUCCUGUCAGCUUUAUCAAACCCAAAUCUAGCACCAAAAUAGAAAGCCACAGCAAGUAGCCAUGCAUCACUGUGAACAGCAACUAGAGAAAGCCAGUCUUUUUCUUGCAUCCCAUCUCUGGCAAAGUUAAUACCUAAUGCAGGCUCCGGGAGCUCUGGAGGCACUUCUUCAGCAGGUAAAUUGACUUCCCACUGUUCAUUAGGAAAUCCAUACAGGCAAAGGUUCUCCUUCUCAGGAUCGCACUGUUGAUAGAACUCUUCCACAUCAGUGGUUAGGGCCUUGAUCAUUCCAGCUCUACGGCCCUUAAAGUCCCUGAAAACCUCUUCCACUGUUCGUGGGUUGUACUGUGCCCCACCGUCCAUGUCCGUACAACCCAAGAUAAAUAUCGUUCAACGAGAGAGAUACAGACAAAAAUGGCGACUGAAGGAAAGUGACCAGAAGAGAGAGAGAGGAUAAGAAGGGAAAUCUACAGUUUGAAAGGGGCAACUAUGGAGAUUUUGCUGCCAAGAGAACCAUAAAAACCAACAAGCAUUUCAAACUCACGGCAGCAGAAAGAGAAAUUUGGUGGAUAAAUUUGGGUUUUCUCCUCUUCUAUAAAAGAAGAGGGAAAUGCACACUGACGAGACCAGACCCAAAAGGAUUAUUGCUUGACCUCCCGGCUUAGCAUUUAUUCACUCGCAGUCAUUGGCUC
rnacentral:misc_RNA from 1 species